AUUGAACGCUGGCGGUAUGCUUUACACAUGCAAGUCGAACGGUAGAGGGGCAACCCUUGAGAGUGGCGAACGGGUGAGUAAUACAUCGGAACGUGCCCAGUCGUGGGGGAUAACGUAGCGAAAGCUACGCUAAUACCGCAUACGACCUGAGGGUGAAAGCGGGGGACCUGCAAGGGCCUCGAGCGAUUGGAGCGGCCGAGGGCAGAUUAGGUAGUUGGUGAGGUAAAAUCUCACCAAGCCGACGAUCUGUAGCUGGUCUGAGAGGACGACAUGCCACACUGUGACUGAGGCACGGCCCAGACUCCUACGGGAGGCAGCCGUGUGGAACUUUGGACAAUGGGCGCAAGCCUGAUCCAGCCAUACCGCGUGAAGGAAGAAGGCCUUCGGGUUGUAAACUGCUUUUGUCAGGGAAGAAAUCUUCUGGGCUAAUACCCUGGGAGGAUGACGGUACCUGAAGAAUAAGCACCGGCUAACUACGUGCCAGCAGCCGCGGUAAUAC
rnacentral:rRNA from 1 species